UGGAGAGCGUGCCUAGACGCGGGCUCCCGGAGCCGUGUGCGACGGCUCGACGCAGGCUGGCGCGGCGCACGCGCGGUUCGUUGGCCCGCGGUCCCUGUGCCCGGAGCGUGUGUUAUUACCCAGUCUCCCAACUGGUGUCGGUGAUUGAGCUCUGGAAACCUGAAGGAAAGACAGUGGGAGUGCGCCGGCAUGUGACCCAGGGGAGGGGCAUGGCGGGACCCAAGCCGGGAAAGUAGACCCGGGGAGAUGUUUGACUGACCUCAUCCUGAGUAAGCCCAUGGGGUUAUUUAUGAGGCCUGAUUUAAAGUAGUGGCUGCCAGGAAAGUGAAAAAGGAGCUCACCUCAAGCUAUGAGAGGAGCUACAGUCGCAAGAAUGCUGUUUAUGACUAUAUAAAUCACCGUGGAGCGUGUGAUGGGAAAUAUGGAGACUGCGAGUUUAGGAUAGAAACAAGGAAACAAAGUCAAGAAGGAAAAAUGAGUUUUCGCCCUGUCUUUUUUAUCCACUCCCUCCGACCGCGCGCAGUUCCUCCCUCCCCUAGGAUACCGCGAUCCCGGCGGAGAGGAACGGGAGGAGAGCGCGCCCCCCCGCCCCACACCCCACCCCGUCGUGGGUCGGGUCUGCCCGAGUCUUCCCCAAGUUUACACCAGGAUCGUUAGAGAGCCAGGGAAUACAUGUAAAUAAACAGCUUGGAAGAUUUAUGGGAAGGAGUUCAAUUUUAUAGGACUGUAUUUAUAGAGCAAGCGCUGGCUCACUUAUAAAUAGAUUAAUGGGAAGCUCAAAUUAAUGGACUUGUGAGCUGCACGUUUAAUUUCUGAGGCUUCAACAUGACAGACAACCGCCCUCAAAGUCCAAGCGUGGAAGGCAGCUUGCCCUGAGAAGCCGAGAGCGCCCUCAGGAAGGGACACUUCCCACCGGGCCAACAACUCUCAGGUGGCCCCUAACUUCGGCGCCCAGGGUCCCUGGGAAGGGACCCUACGGAACUGUUAUUUGCAAAUGAAGAAAAGGAAUGUGGCUUCAUAAAAAAAUAAUCGGGUCUUCCUUCCAGCACUAUUUUUAAUCAAGCCCUUAACCCGCUAACACGAGCCGGCGGGUGCGUUCUGGGCCACUGUAAGCCGCCCACCGGAUCUGGCGGUCUCAGGGUCCCUGCGCUGGGCCGGUCAACGACCUAGAGGUUCUAGCUACUGCUCUUUCCUUACUCCCUCUACAGCCUGCUAACACUGUAACAAAGGGGCCGGGGAGCUGUGACACGCAGCCCAGGGCUGUCUUAGUCAAGGCUGUCUCCAGCUUCCAACCCCUUUUCUUUCCCUUUUUGGUUAUUCUUGCCAGGUCUUUCCUUCAGUUAUUUUCAGGCUCCUCAAAAUCUUGGGUUUUACUUACUAAAGGUGAUUGUUUCAGACCCUCUUUUUGCCAAGUGGCGGUGGUGGGUAGGAGUAGCCUGGAGCUUACCUGUGGGAUAAUAGAUUGCAGGUCGGUUUAUCAAGGGCUCGUGCUAACCUUGAGCAGGAAAAAUUGCCAUACGAUAUGGAAAUUACCCACCACCUGCUUUGUAUAAUCCCAGUGGUAACCAACUCCCAUCCUCUGUAAAGCAAAUGAAAGGAACACUCAGUGUAACAAUUGAACCAGAGAAUAAGACAUAUCUAUUUUUUUCUAGAUAAAUGUAUGUCCUCAUAAGCACACAUCCCUUGGUUUUCUCUGCUUCCUUGUUUCCUUUUAUUCCCCCCCCCAUUUUUUGUUUUUUGUUUUUUUUUGUUUGUUUGUUUGUUUUGCUUUUCUUUGAUUCCACUAUUUAUAGUUCUAGCCAUGAUCUUCCCGCUUUUAAUUAAUAGGACAGGAAGGGGGAAAUCUCACAUAAAGCAGAUUCCAUUGUUCCUUCUGCCUUUCCCUAUAAGGAAGUCCAAUUGAAAAAGAUUCACGUUUAAAAACAGAAAA
rnacentral:lncRNA from 1 species